AGUGAACGCUGGCGGUAGGCCUAACACAUGCAAGUCGAACGGCAGCACAGUAAGAGCUUGCUCUUACGGGUGGCGAGUGGCGGACGGGUGAGGAAUACAUCGGAAUCUACUUUUUCGUGGGGGAUAACGUAGGGAAACUUACGCUAAUACCGCAUACGACCUACGGGUGAAAGCAGGGGAUCUUCGGACCUUGCGCGAUUGAAUGAGCCGAUGUCGGAUUAGCUAGUUGGCGGGGUAAAGGCCCACCAAGGCGACGAUCCGUAGCUGGUCUGAGAGGAUGAUCAGCCACAGUGGAACUGAGACACGGUCCAGACUCCUACGGGAGGCAGCAGUGGGGAAUAUUGGACAAUGGGCGCAAGCCUGAUCCAGCCAUACCGCGUGGGUGAAGAAGGCCUUCGGGUUGUAAAGCCCUUUUGUUGGGAAAGAAAAGAAGCAGGUUAAUACCCCGCUGUUCUGACGGUACCCAAAGAAUAAGCACCGGCUAACUUCGUG
rnacentral:rRNA from 1 species